rnacentral:rRNA from 1 species
CCUACGGGAGGCAGCAGUAGGGAAUCUUCCGCAAUGGACGAAAGUCUGACGGAGCAACGCCGCGUGAGUGAAGAAGGUUUUCGGAUCGUAAAACUCUGUUGUUAGGGAAGAACAAGUACGAGAGUAACUGCUCGUACCUUGACGGUACCUAACCAGAAAGCCACGGCUAACUACGUGCCAGCAGCCGCGGUAAUACGUAGGUGGCAAGCGUUGUCCGGAAUUAUUGGGCGUAAAGCGCGCGCAGGCGGUCUUUUAAGUCUGAUGUGAAAGCCCCCGGCUCAACCGGGGAGGGUCAUUGGAAACUGGAGGACUUGAGUGCAGAAGAGGAGAGCGGAAUUCCACGUGUAGCGGUGAAAUGCGUAGAGAUGUGGAGGAACACCAGUGGCGAAGGCGGCUCUCUGGUCUGUAACUGACGCUGAGGCGCGAAAGCGUGGGGAGCGGAACAGGAUUAGAUACCCUGGUAGUCCACGCCGUAAACGAUGAGUGCUAGUAGUUAGUAGGUUCCGGUCCGUUACGUUGUCUGCGAGCUACGACAUUAAGACGACGUCCGCCGUCGGGAGGUACGGUCGGCGAAGACGUAGUUAACGUUACGUAAAGUUAGUUAAGUUAGACGGCGUUGAGACGNGCCGACGGACGACGACGAGGGAGGAGG